AGAUCUUGUACUAACGCCAAACUAAAGUUCAGUUUAGAAGUUUAGAAUAGUUUAUGGUUGCCAUUUUGUUUUGCGAAAACGACGCUCGCUUGCUUUUCUUGCUUUUGUUCGUGAAUGAGUGUAUUCAAAAGUAAAGUUUUGUGAAUAAAACCACGGAUGUGUAUAUAAACAAUCGCUGACAUAAGAUGAAUUCGACAAUAUCCGAUGAUUUAUCCCGUGAACAUUUAUCGUUAGAAGCUGUAAAGUGUAUAAAAAAUAUAUCUUCGAACAGCCAGGCAGUUACGUUACUGCACAAGGAACUGUUAGAAAUAAAUCUCUCGAUAAUUACGUACAUUGAGGAAAGCAAGCAGCGACUUGCAAGGCUACGCAUGAGCUUGGCGCAUGACGCGAAGAGUUCUCAUAGAGUUGUAGAAAUAUUAUCUGAUAAAUAAAAUGUCAUCACCAGCCACACCUCAUAAGCGUACCAGUCAAGUAAAACUAAUGAAGGCAUCUCAUGAAACCAACAACAAUACGAGCAACAAAUUCUGUGAACGUCAACAAGCUAGAACAUUUAUCAGCUGGUACAAACGCAUGAUAGAUAAUGAACGGUACAACUUAGCACUGUACUUAUCUGACGAUGCUAUGCUUGAAUGGUUCGGACGGACCAUUAAAACAAGAAAAAAAGUUACAGCCUUCCUAAAAUAUGAUAUGCAAUGUUCACGCCAUGAUUUCACUACAGUUGAAAGUAUAAAUAAGAUUCAAACGAGGCAUGAGAGAGUGCAAAGGAAAGAUGACUCAGUCCUGGCUAGUCUACUGCACUCCCCUGAAAUCAUAAGAACAAAAGACAGAUGUCACAAAAGGAGGCUGCUCAGGUCCAACUGCAACAGCCCAGAGUGGGCUGAGGGUUGCCAGCCUCAAGAUGAAAUUAGCAUAGACAAGAAUCAAAAGACUGACAAAAGUGGGCCUGAUGUAGAAAAUAUUAAUGAACUAGAUCACAACACAUUGAAAAGAUCAUUCCCAGACGAUGAUUCAGAUAUAAGCAGCAAAGGCGAUGGCUUACGUAAGGUGAAGAGGAAGUGUGUGCCGGUCACACCUCCCAACAAUGAAGUCGGACAAGGGGACUGUCUUCCUUCCACAAGUGGAACAGAUUCAGGCAGGUCACAUGAUACACUUAAUGCCCAGUUGCCAAAAUUAGCUGUUGAGUGUAACGGCUACAUAGAGUUCACUAGAACAAGGAACAGUCGAAGUACUGAUGCUAUGAAAUGGGAAAGGAAGUGUAAAGUACAAAUAAGUUACUCAGAAGAUCCUUUGAAUGUUGGUGAGUAUAUAAUUUGGGCAUUACAGUAUACAGAUGACAGUAAGUGUAGAAGGAACCUGCUGGCUGCUUUUGAGGAGGUUGCUAAAGAAGAGGAACUUAAGAAAGUUUAGAAAUAGGAUUUAUUAAUUUUACUGUCGAAUUUAUUAGAAGCAAUAUGUUGCCAGUUUGUAAAUUGUUAUGAAAUAGUUUCUACUAUUUGUUAUUGUAUUGUAUAAGGGCACUAGGAAUAAUUUUAUUACUGCCAUUUCAUGUUUUUCUUUCAUUGAUUGCAUGAAAAUUAUUCUUAUUAUCCUUCCAGUGACCAAACUUUAUAAUUUAAGCACACAAAAUGCAUGAUUCUUGUAUUGGUAGAGGCUACCUAUCCAUUUACUUACAUAAAUAUUUAUAGAACAAACGAAUUUGACAGUAAAAUUACCCAUUAGAUGAAAGCAAUUUAUACUAUUGAUAACCAUGUGAUAUAAAGAAGAUAUUGUAUUUUUCUAUGUUAAAGCAUUUAUUUUUUUGUAUGUUUACAAUGUGACCAACUGUACCUCUUGACGAUAUGAAUUUGUAUGCUAGCAAUGAUUUUUAAUGUUUUACUGCUGUAUUCUAACUACCAAAGUUUUACUUUAUCCAACUACUAGGUAAGGCGAGUGAAUAUAAUAUAGAUGUGUUUUGCGCGCCGAAAAAUCAUCCCUCAUAUGGGGUUUACUACCAUGUAGUAACUUUUUAUUUCUUUAAAAUCUUAGAAUCUUGUAACCUUCGAUUUUAGAGAUUAAAAUCCAAGUUUUAUACUUAGGUAUCAAAUUAUGUAACUUUUCGUUAAUACUUUUCAUUUCUUGAAUAUUCUGUUUGCAAAAAAAUUAUUUCUUCUUAGCUUUGUAAAGCCAAAAAACCAUCAGUUUCGAUGAGAAUAAAUUUGUGAUUAGUUCAGUUUCGUGCCAUUUCGGCAAUCGUGCGACAAAAGUCUGAAUAUGAACGUGCGACAGCUGACCGCGUCUAUCGCAUGCAGACGCGCGCCAUCGGUCAGUGGGUCAGUCACCUCUGAAAUAACGCCAUACAUAAAUUCCCAUAUUCUGUCGCAUUACGCGUGGCAUGAUUUUUUUGUUCCAGAAAUUCUAUUGGUAGUGUAAAACUGCUUUACUCCAUUCCGCUUUGGUGGAGUCUGGUCUUUGUGAUGUUUUAAUUCUACCAAAAUGGUCGUUAUCGACUUCUAAUAAAAGUCACAAUUAUUCUGUUUUAUCUUAAUUGACGGUUUUAUUGCCUUAAUACGAUCUCUGUCUAUUCCACUAUUCUUUUACCACCGACUUGUAGCUUCUAUUCAUUAGGAAUAGUUAUUAAUUAUAAUUACGAAAAUUAGCUUAGAAAUAGAACUUAUUUUAAAAUUGUGACUUGCAUGUUGUUUCAUUUACGAAAAUCGUAAAAAAAUAUAUUUCUGUCGGCCGCCUUUUUACAAAAUGUCUGUCGGUUGUGAAUUUGUAAUGUGAUCCAGUAAAACUAUACUGAUAGUGACGCAAAAUUGGAUUACUUAAUUCACUCUAUGGUACCUAGUUUGUCAUAAAGUCAAUUACACUCACAAAAUGUUUUAAUUAGCUUGACCAAUCAUGGUAAUUAGGUUAAUAUUCGCGUAUGGAUAGUACAGGAGUUGCAAACAACUGCUAUUUCUUUAUUUUAUGUUUUGGCUUAAGGAAUUGGGCAAAUGGAUUGUAAAUGAGAUUGCCAAUUGUAUGUUGUUAGUUUUAACUACUUUAAGUUUUAUGUUGUUAACUCAUUACUUGUGAAGUAAUGGCGAUGGGAAUUAUUUUUGUUUUGAUUAUGCUAGAGAUGUAUAAGGUAAAUAAAACUUGUUUAGAAAUA
rnacentral:misc_RNA from 1 species